AUUGAACGCUGGCGGCAGGCCUAACACAUGCAAGUCGAACGGUAACAGGAAACAGCUUGCUGUUUCGCUGACGAGUGGCGGACGGGUGAGUAAUGUCUGGGAAACUGCCUGAUGGAGGGGGAUAACUACUGGAAACGGUAGCUAAUACCGCAUAACGUCGCAAGACCAAAGAGGGGGACCUUCGGGCCUCUUGCCAUCGGAUGUGCCCAGAUGGGAUUAGCUAGUAGGUGGGGUAACGGCUCACCUAGGCGACGAUCCCUAGCUGGUCUGAGAGGAUGACCAGCCACACUGGAACUGAGACACGGUCCAGACUCCUACGGGAGGCAGCAGUGGGGAAUAUUGCACAAUGGGCGCAAGCCUGAUGCAGCCAUGCCGCGUGUAUGAAGAAGGCCUUCGGGUUGUAAAGUACUUUCAGCGGGGAGGAAGGGAGUAAAGUUAAUACCUUUGCUCAUUGACGUUACCCGCAGAAGAAGCACCGGCUAACUCCGUGCCAGCCGCCGCCGUAA
rnacentral:rRNA from 1 species